GGACAAGGCUACAUUGGAACAAUGAGAAAACAAGGAACCGUACAGAACAUGUGGUGGAAGACAACAUCCAAAAACAUACAGGAGUAAGCGAUCUGAGUCUUCUCAACUGGAAAGUAAUUCACAUUUAAUGUUUUAUUUUAGGACUGUACUUCACACCUCAGUUUAUCACAUCAUGAUAAUUGUUACAAUUCUCAUUAACACCAUUUCCCCAAAGACUACAAUUUCCAAGAUCAUCUGUAAGAACAUUAUAGUUCUAAAUUAACAAGAGGACAAUUUAAAUGUUCAGUGUCAGGGGUUAAGGGGUGGUUGUAUGAUGUUUAAACAAUUUUGUUGCUUUGAGCAUUUUUGUCAUUUAGAAGUAAAGAGUUGCAUGCAUUGUUAUUAUCAUUAAAUACAUAUAACAUUUAAUCUGCCACAAAUUUUAUAUUAGUCAUAAACUAAAUAACAUAACUGCUUGAGUUCAAGUUUAUAUUUAGCAGGAUACACAAAUAUGAGGAGACUUUGAUGGGCCUUGAAGUCUCCUUUCAGGGUACACUGAGUGGUAAGGAUGUGAUACAUGGCCAUGUAUGUUAGACAUAAACAUGGGAUAAUUGAGAAAGUUAGAGUUGAAUGAUUGGCACCCUGUUUCAUCCUUUUAAUAUUUCAUUUUUUGAGACUUUUUAAAGUUCAAUUUAAUAUACAAUUGUUUUAUUCUAUACUAUCUAAUAUGACCAUGGUGAAUUUCAAUUGGUUGUCUAACAGUAGGUUGGAUUUGUAUGUUUUUUCAAAAGUAUAUAGUACAUAUAGCUAAUAGUAUAGGAUACAUUAAAAACAAAACAUGAAUUAGUUAAAUGCAAAGAAAGAUCAGGUAUAACGAUUGUAACGGCACCCCCAGGCAUAAAAGGGUUAAACCGCCGUUUAGUCGAUCUUCCCCUUCCAGAGAUACAGGCACAGCUACUGCAGAACACCAAACUCCCGAACUGAAUACAAGGGAAUGCUCCAAACUCCCGAACUGCAUACAAAAUAGCACUCCAAACUCCUGAACUGGAACCUCCCGAAUAGCUGCUAGCAGACGAACAGGAAAAGCACCCAAGCGGCUUACACUCCUGGCAAUCAGUCUCUAACAACAUACAGUUGAUCCCCCCCAAGAAUGAGACAAGGCUCCGUGUUGAGGGUUAAGCAGUGGUCUGGUUUAUUGAGGGCUACCUGCCCGGUAUUUAUGCAGGUCUCCCACCUGGUGGACACUCCCCUAGAGGACCAGAUGGAAGACUGUAACACAGACAGACAUGUAUCACAUUCAGACACACAGAUGUAAAACAUCCCCACAAUGCAUCCUAAUUUCCCUGCCUGCACGUAAAAGUAUCCGGGGAGCUCUAUAACACCGCAACCGGGUGGCGGCUAUGUGUAACCACGACCAAUUGACGGCACACGCUAGCUUCCCGGUGGUCGCGCCUUCGUGCAGCUUUCGGCUGUUUAACAGGGGAACACAUAGGGACUGUACAGGCAGGGAAAUAAACCGAACAACAGACGAAUGGAUGGAAAAUAAAUGUAAUCCAUAUACAGACAGUUCUGUUACAACGAUGUAUAUAUUUCUAUUUGAAGUUAUUUUUUGUCAGACUAGCAAGUGCAGAAUGUUUAAAACAAGUAGGCAGAAUGUAAAAAUUAAAAAUAUAAAGGGAAUGCUAUAAACUAUAAACAUAUGACCAACAUCACCUCUUCUGAAGCGCAAUGUAUGUACUAUGUUAAUCAAUAUUGAGCAAUGUGAACUAUAUUGGAGCUAUAAAAAUAAGUUGAAAAUCAUAAUCACUAAAUAUUUUGCAAAAUUCUGCCUUGGAAAACGUCUUUAUAUUGGCUCACUUGCAAUUAGCUUUGCAUAACGUUUAAUUACUAGAAAUAAAUAUGUGAUUAAUAUCAUGCCAAGCAAAAUAGGGUAACCCAAUAUCCAAUCCAUUUGCUCAUCCAUUGCUUCUUUUAAAACUGUUAGGGUAAUCUACUAAAAGAUAAAUUGUCAGAAAUCAAAGUGAAUUCAAAGUAAAUUUCAAAUUUAAGGCCAAAAUAGCUGAAUUGAAAAAAAAUCUCUCAGGCAGCUUUGCUUUGUUUAGCUACUUUGGUCUAGAAUUUCAAAUUUAUGUUCAAUUAUCUUUGAAUUCACAACAAUUCUAAUUUUAGUAAAUAUGCUUAUGUUGUAAAUGAAAAUAAAUAUAAAAUAUUCCGGUUUGAUGGAAAAAUGCUCUGGUGCUCCCAGAGAAAAUUCUGACUUUAAAUGAGAAGCAAAUAUAAAGCACUGAGUGAGAAUUCAUAGAUAACACUAAUAAUACUAAUAAGUUAAGCAUAUGAAAUGAGAGAAAUCUCAAUGUAUCCAUCCUGGUAAAAAUAUUUUAUAAAUAAAUAAAUAUGCAGCCAUAUUCCAUCACCAAUCCCCAACAGUUUUAUCGGAAUCAGUUAUACCCACGCUGACUCCUAAUCAUUAAAAAUCAUAUUGGAGAUGAACAAGUAAAACAUUGUUGUUCAUCAAAUAGGUUUUUGGUCCAUUAAAAUCUGCCAGAUUUGUGCUCUUGCUGUGUUGUGGGGGAGGUGUAAUGGAUCCGGGUGGAUCCGGCUGGUUCUUCUACUGAUAGUCUGUGCCUGGCUAUUCAUUAGAUUAGGGUCUCUGACUGCCAAAAAUGGAACCGCAGAUCAGGGCGCAGAGAGAUAAUGGAAGUCUCCUUGGCUGAAAAUGUGCUGAGAAGGGUCUCUUGAGCAAUUGUCUGCUUAAUUCCAGGAGGAAUGUAGCUAUCAGGUUACCCAAUUGGAUGAAUGAAUGUGUCUGUAGAUUAGAUGUAAGAUCUUGUGCGGCUAUUGCAGUCCCAGGAAAAAAGCGAAUGAAUAAUAGGUUCAAUUGACAAACUUGGCACCUUAGUUCUAACAAAAAAGCCAAUGUUCCAAAUUUAUAUUCAAUAAUUAUUAUCAUAAGAGGGAUAAUAAAGUUAAUGUUGUCAUUCUAUAUGAUUAAUUAUUUAAAAACUAAGAGCUGCCC